CCUACGGGUGGCAGCAGUGGGGAAUUUUGCGCAAUGGGGGAAACCCUGACGCAGCAACGCCGCGUGAGUGAUGAAGGCCUUCGGGUCGUAAAGCUCUUUUAGUGGGGAAGAAUCCCUUCCGGGCGAAUAACCCGGGAGGAUGACGGUACCCACAGAAAAAGUUCCGGCUAACUACGUGCCAGCAGCCGCGGUAAUACGUAGGGAGCAAGCGUUGUUCGGAAUUAUUGGGCGUAAAGAGCGCGUAGGCGGUUUGGUAAGUCUGACGUGAAAUCCCGGAGCU
rnacentral:rRNA from 1 species